rnacentral:rRNA from 1 species
UGCAGUCGAGCGGCAGCACGGGUACUUGUACCUGGUGGCGAGCGGCGGACGGGUGAGUAAUGCCUAGGAAUCUGCCUAGUAGUGGGGGAUAACGUCCGGAAACGGGCGCUAAUACCGCAUACGUCCUACGGGAGAAAGUGGGGGAUCUUCGGACCUCACGCUAUUAGAUGAGCCUAGGUCGGAUUAGCUAGUUGGUGAGGUAAUGGCUCACCAAGGCGACGAUCCGUAACUGGUCUGAGAGGAUGAUCAGUCACACUGGAACUGAGACACGGUCCAGACUCCUACGGGAGGCAGCAGUGGGGAAUAUUGGACAAUGGGCGAAAGCCUGAUCCAGCCAUGCCGCGUGUGUGAAGAAGGUCUUCGGAUUGUAAAGCACUUUAAGUUGGGAGGAAGGGCAGUUACCUAAUACGUGAUUGUUUUGACGUUACCGACAGAAUAAGCACCGGCUAACUCUGUGCCAGCAGCCGCGGUAAUACAGAGGGUGCAAGCGUUAAUCGGAAUUACUGGGCGUAAAGCGCGCGUAGGUGGUUUGUUAAGUUGGAUGUGAAAGCCCCGGGCUCAACCUGGGAACUGCAUCCAAAACUGGCAAGCUAGAGUAUGGUAGAGGGUGGUGGAAUUUCCUGUGUAGCGGUGAAAUGCGUAGAUAUAGGAAGGAACACCAGUGGCGAAGGCGACCACCUGGACUGAUACUGACACUGAGGUGCGAAAGCGUGGGGAGCAAACAGGAUUAGAUACCCUGGUAGUCCACGCCGUAAACGAUGUCAACUAGCCGUUGGGAGCCUUGAGCUCUUAGUGGCGCAGCUAACGCAUUAAGUUGACCGCCUGGGGAGUACGGCCGCAAGGUUAAACUCAAAUGAAUUGACGGGGGCCCGCACAAGCGGUGGAACAUGUGGUUUAAUUCGAAGAACGCGAAAACCUUACCAGGCCUUGACUUCCAUGAACUU